GUCCACGCCGUAAACGAUGGAUACUAGCUGUUGGGGGCAACUUCAGUGGCUAAGCGAAAGUGAUAAGUAUCCCACCUGGGGAGUACGUUCGCAAGAAUGAAACUCAAAGGAAUUGACGGGGGCCCGCACAAGCGGUGGAGCAUGUGGUUUAAUUCGAUGAUACGCGAGGAACCUUACCAAGGCUUAAAUGUAGAUUGACAGGACUGGAAACAGAACUUUCGCAAGACAAUUUACAAGGUGCUGCAUGGUUGUCGU
rnacentral:rRNA from 1 species